rnacentral:rRNA from 1 species
CCUACGGGGGGCUGCAGUGGGGAAUAUUGGACAAUGGGCGAAAGCCUGAUCCAGCCAUGCCGCGUGUGUGAAGAAGGCCUUCGGGUUGUAAAGCACUUUCAGUGGGGAAGAAAGCCUUGGGGCUAAUACCCUCGAGGAAGGACAUCACCCACAGAAGAAGCACCGGCUAACUCCGUGCCAGCAGCCGCGGUAAUACGGAGGGUGCGAGCGUUAAUCGGAAUUACUGGGCGUAAAGCGCGCGUAGGCGGUCUGAUAAGCCGGUUGUGAAAGCCCCGGGCUCAACCUGGGAACGGCAUCCGGAACUGUCAGGCUAGAGUGCAGGAGAGGAAGGUAGAAUUCCCGGUGUAGCGGUGAAAUGCGUAGAGAUCGGGAGGAAUACCAGUGGCGAAGGCGGCCUUCUGGACUGACACUGACGCUGAGGUGCGAAAGCGUGGGUAGCAAACAGGAUUAGAUACCCUGGUGUC